ensembl:lncRNA
UUGACAUUGAGAGGAAGACAGAUGCUUUGUGAUAUGCCUCACUGUAUUUCAGAGCAAUUUGAAAAGAAGCUUUACAUCCAAAAAGACCUUUUACAUCAAAUCUCUGUGUGGAAAGCAGAAUGCGGUGAUGUAUUCCUCACCCCUACUUUUUCCCAUGCCAGAGACAUACACUGGACAAACAAGGUCUCAUGCUUGGCUCUGCUCCUCUGUUCUUAAUUUGGAAUGGGAGAAGUCCAUGUGUCAAAAGGAAUCCUUUCUUUUAUAGGUUUCCAGCCCAAAAUGCAUUACAAGGCUGGCUGCCCAGCCACAAACCACUAGCAAAUGCACCAACAUCUCCUGCUGCCAAGCCCCACAGAAGACCCAAAUGUGCAAGUACCUCUGCAGGCAGCAGCAUCCCUGGAGGAGGUGUGAGGGGGUCACCUUUGCCUGGCAGUAUGACCUGGCUUAGAGCACUAGCUCUGAUCUAGCAGUGGUCAGCACUGGAGAGGGCAAUGACUACAUUUACCUGGAAGGGCAGACCUCCUUUCCAACUGCUGAUGCCAAGCUAAUUGGCGCUGGUCACAAAGAUGGGUCAAGUAUGUGGUGGGAUGAUGGAAGAAGUCACAGUGGUCUCCUUAUGGCUCCAUGUCUCCAGGGCUGGCUCAGUAGGCUAUAAAGCAAACACCACACUGCAAAAGUACAAGCUGGUGAUCCUUCUGCCAGGUAGAAACUUUAUGUGAAAGGACAUAAUCUCACCUGCAGAGUGCAGCUAUCUUCAUGCCCUCUGACAGCUUCCUAAACUCAUUCAAGGAAUCAAGUAUUGAAAAAGUAUUGCCUUCUAGUCCAGCUUUGUUGGGUGUAGACCUGAGGGAGGAUAUUUACAGUUUUUUUGUUUUUUUUUUUCCAAUUUUUAAAACCCUCAAGGCCCUUCAGAUGGGAUCUUCAAAGGUUCUGAAAAGAAAUGAGGUGUUGACUUUCCACCUUAAGCUCCCACUUUGAAAACUCCCACUUGGAUUCAUUUAAAUGCUGUAAAAACACGUGAACCAAUUCACUAGAAAGGUGUCUUUUAGUUGGAAGGGUGGCGUGGGCAGGUGGACUUGGAGGUCAAUUUGAAAUUUAGGAGAAGGAAGAACAGUCAAAAGGAAGUAAACUUGCUGCUGCAUUUAGAGGAACUGUGCUGUUAGGAAAUAAGUAAAGCAUUUUCAGGUGAUACCUAGCCAUGCCAUACCUUUCCUGUGGCUUUGAGUGUUCCUAGCAAAGCCUCUGUCCUUGCUGUCCAGAAUGAAUCUAAAGCUAAGCUGAUCAGAAGGCAUAAUUCCACUUAUCUUGUUUGGAUCCUUUUUUUCCCCAGCUGCAAUGUAUUCAUUUGCUUUUUAUAGCUUUGGCCUUCUAAACAGUAUUUUCCCAGUAGGAACUGAAGGGAGCUCUAGGUACCUGCAUGCCCACUCUUUUAGAGUGGAGUGCAGUUCAGCAUGACACAGACAAGCCAGCUCUGAAGCAGGAAGAAUGAAGAACUUGUAGCUUCCUGGGCUUGGAGUUGGGCAAUGGGAGAUCCUGGUAGUGCAGUUCACUUGCAGCUGCAGAAAUGAUAUCCAAGAAGGUACUUGAAGAAGCAGAGCACGGAGACAACAAAGACACUCUGCCUUUUGUUGACGACAAAGAAGUGGCUCCUUCCUUCUCUUGGAAGGAGUUCCUUUUGCAGGCAGCGCGUGCGUGUGGUGGCUGAUGGAGCGGCGGCAGGCUGGGCACCAGAGCUGCGCUGGCCCAGCUUGGCAAGCAGAAGGAGCCACAGCCCACAGAAGCCUGAUUCCUACUUGUUAUAUGCCCCUCCAUCUAAUUCUUUGGACACCGAGGCUGCGUUGGAGUGAUUGAUUGUGGGGAAUAAAGAUGACCUCAGUGACCAGAGUUCAAAACAAAGAACAAGACUGAAGAAAGUCUCACCCUGAGUGACUGGCUGCUGUCCAUACAUAUUCUUUAAAAACAAAGGUGCUUUCAAUGCACAGGGACAGAGGAUAAAAGAAUAAACAUGAUGGUGCCUUGCAUUUCAAAAGAAUCUCUUUGCAAAUGCUUCUGAUCUACCGAGGGCUAAUAUUCUCCAGUUCUGCCUUCCUUUCCAGGAGGAAUGCAGUGACACUGAGUUUGAAAUCUAAUUGGUGAAUGGGACUUCAGGAGCAAGGGGGAAGUCUUCUCUUUUUGCCCAAGCAGAGAUGAAGGUCCCCUGGCUGGAGCCCAAGACAGGGCUGUCUGUCUGCCUGUGCCACCACACGAUGCCAGACAUCAGACUCUCUCUCAGACUGCUGAAAACAUCUCAGCCUGGUGACUUCCUCUCUCAGCCUUGUUGGCUGUUUGAAAAGGUCGUCAAGUUGAGCACAGCAGCACCCAUGACACUUUUCACCUUCCUCAGUACCGUGGGUGACCUCUGGAUUCCUGAGCUCACCAUAGCCAAAAACCUGUACAGCUCUCUCCUUGGGAGGUCUGUCUGGGUCAUCAGCCCAGAAAGAUAGUUGCCAGGGCACAUGGAUGAUGAGACUGCUGUAUACCCAUCCAAUGGGCCUCUAGGAUUGCCUGCAGUGUCGAUGGCUCCUGAACCCCACCUAAGAGAAGAACUCCCUGCCUUCACUGGUCUCACACGCAAUAUUGAUCAACAAACAUGUGAGCAUCCAUGGCAAGCACUGCUAGAGCACUGACAAGUGUGCAUCUCCCAGCCAGUACAGCCUUCAUCGUGGUACACAACCGGACUUACCCAAGACAAGGACAGCUACCAACAGCUGACUUUUAUCAUACAGGACUGCUUCAGGACUGGACUCCAUUGCUGUGAAUGGCAAUGAUUCACUGUCCCAGAAAGCCUUUUGAAGCUUGUUGGCUCGUUCACCAGUGUUACAGUCCCUAACAUGAGCAUAUGUUGUGAAGCCGCAGAGGAAGGGUCAAUGUUAGUGGAUGAGCUGACCCUGCUUGUCCUGUGCUCAGCCUCUGAUCUGAUGGAACACUCUCUAGCUUAGGUGUGGCAACCAUAUCUCUGUUAGUGUGGUAUUGAGCUAGAGAUGGUUCAAGCUGAGUGCUAUUCCUGUGAUCUCACCCACAAGACCUUCCUUCCUUUCUGGUAAAAACUGAGCUCUGUGUGUACUGAAAAAAGUAGUCCAGAUCCAACUCAGCUAUUCUGGGGGAACAGGAGGAUUCAAGACUGCUCUCCAUCAAAGGUCUGGCAAAAGAAAAGCAGAAAAACAGCCAAAAGCAGUGACGUACACAAACCCCAAAUCUCCUGGGUUCACUGGAGUUUUUAAGAACGUAGAAGUAUCUCCUAAGGCAGAUGGAAAUAUUCCUUCUUCUACCCACUGUCCUGGUGGGAUCUGAUGCCCCACGUGGGAUCUGUACAAGUUUCUUUAUCAUCACAAUCUGUCUCCAUCCCUCAGUUCCCUCAUGCCGUUCAGAGAAGUUUGUCCAUACAGAAUAUUUGUCAAUACUCCAAAUAAACGGCAUCAUGCUUCCUUGUUUCUCUGUCUGUAUCUCCCUGUUCCUGACAUAAGUGAAAAUCCUACUGGGCAGGACAGUUCUUUCUUACUGUAUUUGUACAACAGGUAGCCUGUUGGCUUUGUGGUCUGUUAUUGGGAACACUGCCAGCAGUGCUGACUUUUUGGUGAAGAUGAAUAAUAGAAUUUUCUAGCAUG